rnacentral:rRNA from 1 species
CAGGAUGAACGCUAGCUACAGGCUUAACACAUGCAAGUCGAGGGGCAGCAUGACGAUAGCUUGCUAUUGUUGAUGGCGACCGGCGCACGGGUGAGUAACGCGUAUCCAACCUGCCCUUGUCCAUCGGAUAACCCGUCGAAAGGCGGCCUAACACGAUAUGCAGUUCUCAGCAGGCAUCUAACGAGAACGAAAUGUGAAGGAGAAGGAUGGGGAUGCGUCUGAUUAGCUUGUUGGCGGGGUAACGGCCCACCAAGGCAACGAUCAGUAGGGGUUCUGAGAGGAAGGUCCCCCACAUUGGAACUGAGACACGGUCCAAACUCCUACGGGAGGCAGCAGUGAGGAAUAUUGGUCAAUGGACGGAAGUCUGAACCAGCCAAGUAGCGUGCAGGAUGACGGCCCUAUGGGUUGUAAACUGCUUUUAUACGGGGAUAAAGUGAGCCACGUGUGGCUUAUUGCAGGUACCGUAUGAAUAAGGACCGGCUAAUUCCGUGCCAGCAGCCGCGGUAAUACGGAAGGUCCGGGCGUUAUCCGGAUUUAUUGGGUUUAAAGGGAGCGUAGGCCGUUUGUUAAGCGUGUUGUGAAAUGUCGGGGCUUAACCUGGGCAUUGCAGCGCGAACUGGCAGACUUGAGUGCGCGGGAAGUAGGCGGAAUUCGUCGUGUAGCGGUGAAAUGCUUAGAUAUGACGAAGAACUCCGAUUACGAAGGCAGCCUGCUGUAGCGUAACUGACGCUGAAGCUCGAAAGCGUGGGUAUCGAACAGGAUUAGAUACCCUGGUAGUCCACGCGGUAAACGAUGGAUGCUCGCUGUUUGCGUCUGACGUAAGCGGCCAAGCGAAAGCGUUAAGCAUCCCACCUGGGGAGUACGCCGGCAACGGUGAAACUCAAAGGAAUUGACGGAAGG